rnacentral:rRNA from 1 species
GACGAACGCUGGCGGCGUGCUUAACACAUGCAAGUCGAACGAUGAAGCCUUAGCUUGCUUUGGUGGAUUAGUGGCGAACGGGUGAGUAACACGUGAGCAACGUGCCCAGGACUCUGGAAUAACCGCGGGAAACCGUGGCUAAUACCGGAUAGGUGCCGAGGCCGCAUGGUCUUCGGUUGGAAAGUUUUUGCGGUUCUGGAUCGGCUCACGGCCUAUCAGCUUGUUGGUGGGGUAAUGGCCUACCAAGGCGACGACGGGUAGCCGGCCUGAGAGGGUGACCGGCCACACUGGGACUGAGACACGGCCCAGACUCCUACGGGAGGCAGCAGUGGGGAAUAUUGCACAAUGGGCGCAAGCCUGAUGCAGCAGCGCCGCGUGGGGGAUGACGGCCUUCGGGUUGUAAACCUCUUUUAGUAGGGAAGAAGCGCAAGUGACGGUACCUGCAGAAAAAGCACCGGCUAACUACGUG